AUUUUGCUGGGAGGAGUCUAAGGCUUCGCUCUGACUCCCAAAGGCCAAAGAGCCCACUCCGGGAGGCAGGACGCGAGGCCGGCCGCCGGAAGGAGCCCUGGCUGUCCCUCCUGGCCUAGCGCUACCUCUUUGAUCUCACCCUCCUUGUGGCGGCGAGAGUCACCAAAGAUGUGAGGGGCCAUUGGGCGUCGGGAGAGAGGUGGGGGUCGGCGCCGGCGGGACCCCAGAUUGGAUCCGCCCUCGUCGGACGGGCAGACCCUGCUGCAAUAGCUCCCGGCUGGCCUCGGGAGGCAGUUGCAACUGUAGGAUUGCCCGUGCCAGCUUCCGGAAAUGAGCAUCCGCUCCCUCUCCCGGGACUGGGCGUGGGGUUCACCGAGAGGAGAGACCUUGCGUUUGCGCUGGGCCUGCUCUGUGCCAGGCCCUCCCAGUCUUCCGUCUAUCCUGGUUUCUGGUCUGUGCGUUGUGGGUGGCAGCAUUGGCGUGUUGCGCCGCGGGGAGCAAGCUGAGCGAGGCUCCAAAAGGUGCGCAAUAGCUGGAGAGGAAGGGGCAAUGCUGUCACCUGGCACCCUCCCUUAGACUCCAUCCAGCCCAGAAAAAAGGAGCUGCUUUCUCCCCCACCUACCCGAGGAGAAAUAAACGGGCGCUGACAUUU